rnacentral:snoRNA from 15 species
GGGAAUGAUGAUUUCUCAGACUAGAGUCUCUGACUGGUCUUGAUGUCUUUUUGUUGUCUGACUC